rnacentral:rRNA from 1 species
UACGGAGGGUGCGAGCGUUGUCCGGAAUCACUGGGCGUAAAGGGCGCGUAGGUGGCGCGAGGAGUCUGUGGUGAAAGCCCGAGGCUCAACUUCGGGUCGGCCGCGGAUACUCUCGUGCUGGAGGGUGGUAGAGGCCAAUGGAAUUCCGGGUGUAGCGGUGGAAUGCGUAGAGAUCCGGAAGAACACCGGUGGCGAAGGCGGUCUGCUGGGCAGUUGCUGACACUGAGGCGCGACAGCGUGGGGAGCAAACAGG